CUUACACCUCGAUUGUAUCACUUAGCAGUAAGCAUGCAUUGUUACUUUCUUCUACAAUAUUUUACUUUUUACUUAGCAGUUAGGAAUCUUGACCAUUGGCUUUUGUUUCUUUUGCAAUAUUUUACUUUUACUUUCCUCUAUCUCUGUAGUGUCUCUUCCAUACGCCCCCUUUCUCUCUCUUCUUCCAUCUUAACUUUCUCUAAAACCAUCAACAAUGAGCAACUUCUGAGCUUUCUCACCUCCAUCAAAUGCAGUUGAAUUUUUUCAAGUGAUGGCUAUCCAAUUUAGCAGUGACCACUGAUCAUGGCAAUUCGUAGGUUUUCGGUGUCGGAAACUUGCACGCUUUCUCUAUCUCAGUUUGAAGGUGAAAUGAUUGGUCAAAGAUUUAUGUUUUUUGUUACCUGUCAAUUUGAAGGUGAGUAUCUCGCUGCUGAGAAUUCAAAAAACCCUAAUUUCAGGGGGAAAAUCCCAAAUUUUGAAGAAAUUAAGAGAAGAUGAGGCCUCAGAGAUAGAAGGUCCAUACUAUUAUGGAAUGGUUGAGAAAGAAGCCGCCGAAUGUGAAGGCGUUUCUAGCGGUUGUCGCAUGAAUGGCGGCUCUGGCUUUGCCGACCUUGCUGAACCUGGAUAUCUUGUUGUUGCAUGCUUUUCAAGUUCCUCACUAUUCUACUGAAAAAGAGGAGAGAAAAUGCGAUGAUCGCGGCAAAGGUAAUGGUGGUGGCGAAGUUUCCGGCAUCAGACUGCCGCCAUCUCAGGACUGCAACCACUUAAAAUAUAAAUGAAACUCAUAAACUUGUAAUGUAUUUUCUCUCCCUUUCAAUUUGCUGUGGUUGAAUAGGAAGGUGGAAAAAUUGCUCAUUUUUGAAAAAUUAGGCUUUAAUUUUGAUAAACAAAACUUCUAAAUGGCAACUUCUUAAUUCAGGCAUUCUUUUUUGUCAUCAAAUUUUAAUUUUUGAGUUUUCUUCUUAUUUUGUUCAUAAUGUUCAUCGGUGUUGAAUUUCUACUUUAGUUGAGCAUUGUCAUUCAUCUGGGUAUCUAUGUGAAAUGAUCUGAUAUAACUCAUAAUUUUUUUUUUCUUUUCUCUUAAAUUUAUUAUUCUGGUAGUAUGAUUUUAUAUGAUAGUAUUUGUUAGUUCAAUUAUUCUUGCAUUUGUAUAAUUGAUCAUUAUCUCAUAAAACCCAAAAGGGAUUUUAUUUUUGAAAAAAAUAAAAAAUUGGGGGUUUCUGAUUUAUUUCAGAUUGUUUAGAUUUUAAGGGGUUUUGUCAAUUCAAUUCAGUUUGUUUUAAAAAUGGUUUUGUUUUCUGAUUCAAUUCAAGUAGUUCAUAAUUUUGGGAUGGUUUGAUUCAAUUUGGUAUAUAAAAUAGGUUUCAGAUUAAAGUUACAAAUCUCAUUGAUUUUAGGAACAAUAUAAAUCUACUUCAAUUAAUGUUCAUGGCACAAACCGUGUCUUUAUUGUGGCAUAGGGUCUGAUGCUCAAUGAUGAGAAUAGUUUUUGAUGCUCAAUGAUGAGAAUCAUUAGAUAAUAGUUGCCUUAAGAUACAAUUGUUCUUGACUGAUAUUGAUAUUGUCAAAAUUUGUCAUGAAUUUACAACCUUUUGAAGUUGUUUGUUCUUUCCGAAAAAUUGACAAGUAUUUUUGGUGUUAGAAGUCUGAAAGGGCACAAAUUUCUAAUUAGACUUGGUUAUUGUAUUUAAUUUGCCAAGAUCAGAGAAGAAUGAGUAAUUAUUCUCCUUUGUCUUUGUUGUAAGAUUAAAUUUUCUCUUUCAAAUUAUAAUUUGUGGACUUGCUUCAUUCUUUCUGGAAACGCAAUUAGAUUUUGUGCCGAACCCAUUAGAUAUAUUCCUUUAUUAGUUUGGUUUUAACUUUUUAUUUGAGGGCUUGAUGUGUUGUUUGAUAUGACAAGGAAGGUCAAAGUACCGGAGUUUUUGAAUGGGAAAGGGAAAGGAGUAGAGGCUCAUGUGGGGAAGCUUGAGUCUGAGUUUGGGGACCUUCAAAAGUUGCUUGUCGUUCGCACUCUUAAGCUCAAGAAGCUUGAUUUUCCAUGUAAACAUGGAAGACGUUAGCAGGGCAAGAGUUAAAAUGCUUUGGGGGAAGUUGCCAAAUCGUACAUGUUCAUCACUAUCACGGGUAUCCCAUCGAGCAACAAGAUGGACAACCGUAUUACUUGCUCUACGUACAUGAGUUCUCUGCAUGCAAUUCUGAAGAUAUUUCUUCACCAUUGUGGUUUUGGUUUAGGCAUAUAAUUUUUUUUUUUUUUGAAAUAUUUAGGCAUAUAUCUUUAUAUUUUAAGUAGCAAGUAUGGGUAUUAAGCUUAUUAUUUGACGUAAUAUCUUAUUUUAUUUAUUUUAUUCGUCUUCUAGGAAAUUGCUCAUACAGAUUUGCCACCAACUUAUUCCAUCAGAUUAGGUCUUGCGAACCUUGAAUGUAUUUCACGUAAUUUAGCUUAGCUUUUGUAUGCCUGUUUAUGUAAUCAAUUUUAUUCCCAGGUGUUGCUAAUUGCUAUACAUUGGUUAUAUACUGAUGCCUUCAAUUUGACAA